rnacentral:hammerhead_ribozyme from 1 species
AUCCAGAUGACCAGUCCCAAAUAGGAUGAUAGGCGCAUCCUGGAU